UAAACAAGGAGAGUUCUGGCACAAUGUAAAUCUCCAUAAGCGCAAUGCUAAAGUAUGGGUUCAUUUCAGUGACAAAAACUCACUUUUUGGAUCGGUCUUGAUAGCGGUGUUUUUUUCGAGGUUUGAGGGGUUGUAUAUGUGUGUAGGGGUAGUGGAUGUGUUUUAGGGGGGUUGUGUGUUAAGGGGUAGUAGGAAAAAACAAAUUUCUAAUUUUAGAAUCAUGCUUAGUAACACAAGCGGCGGCGUACUUGAUUGCGGUGUUUUUUUCGAUGUUUGAGGGGUUGUAUAUGUGUGUAGGGGUAGUAGAUGUCUUUUAGGGGGGUUGUAGAUAAGGGGUAGGUAGGUAAAAACAAAUUUCUAAUUUUAGAAUCAUGCUUAGUAACACAAGCGGCGUACUUCAUAAAAUGUAUAACUUAGUAGUAGUCGUUUGCGGUUGAGAUUUAUUUUUAGAUGUUAUCUUAGUAACAUAGCGUUAGAAAUAAAACGUCUUGCGGUUCUGUUGAUAAGACAAACACAUGUGUUUGUGGUUUACUAUAAUCCUUCAAUGGUUGUAGUGUUAUCGAUGUAGUACAAUAUUUGUUGCAAGUUUUCGAUACAGAUUUCGAGAUUGUGGUCUACAGAUGGAAAAAUUUACAAUGUUGCUGAAGCAAAUAUUUAUAACAUUGAGGUUUUACAACAGAAAAAUAAAACGUUAUCAAAAUGAAAUAGGUAUUAAGAAAAAAUGUCAACUAUAAACGAAAUUACUGUGCCUAUGAAUAAAUGCGAGUGGCUCUUUUCAGUGAUUUGUCGGUAUGUACCUACCAUCGGGAUAUACAGUGCUUUGCCCAUGUGCACAUAAUCUAGUCUACGAUGAGACCGAGCACAAUUUAUUGUUCUUAGAGCCAUUUUUUGGGGAUCAUUUUAUUUGGGUGUUUGAGACAAAAUGCAGGAGCUCAACAACAAUUUUUUGCAGGGUAGGACCGUAAGUAAGGUAACAAUUUUUUUGUUUCAAUAAUAAAUUAUGUUUGCUUUUAUUAUUACAGACGACGUAUGUCCACCCCAAGAAAUUGUUUUUGCUAAAUUGGAGGUUUUACCUACUGUUAUUUAAUAAAAAAUAUAUUUGAGUUAUCUUUUUUUAUUUUGUGACAUAUGUAUGUAUAUGAGACCUGUUUUAUUAUUACAGACGACGUAUGU